rnacentral:ncRNA from 2 species
AAUAACAGAAGAGGAGCGCUGCCCAGGCAGGUGUAAUAGUGGAAUCGCAGUUCCAAUACUAUUCACUCAGGGGGAGUAGCGCCGAGAUGGGAGCACAAUGCGAUACACUCCUGUCGGUUGAAUGGGCUGAAUCCCUUCAACUGUCAUCAGCACUGCCUGAUGAUGAGCUUCUGAGGUA